AUUGCCGAUAUUUGUCGGUUUUGCCCCUUUGUAAAAACAUAGGUGGCGCAACGACCGUUUAGGUUCAACAACACUUCCGGUAGCAUGUAAACACGUCAAAUCUGUGCACCUGUCAAUGGUAUAUCGAUGUUUUUCAGGAUUCCCUAAGUGUUUAAGCUGUUGUAAAUUAAGCUUUCCUGUAGAUAAAAAGUCGGUUAACUGUUAGGUAUCAGCCAUACAUAGAUUCGAUCAUGUAUUUCGCAACAAAAACCUCGAUGACUUCAGUUACACUGCGUGUUGUGGCACAUGCAUUCGGGGAGACGUUCAUCUCUGCAACUUCAGAAGGUAAACUGAUCCGACUGAAGAAAACAUGAAGAUUUAAUGGACCAGUUUAAUUAAGGCUGUACAAUGCCUUGAUACUAAGAGCCUGACCUGUCCAGUUUAUGCUUGGAAUUGGGGAAGAUUUAACAUUAAAAAAAAUGUACACCUUGGGACUGUAUUUUAAGGUAGGUCAUUAAAAUACUUGUGCCAGUUUUCAUUACACUGAAUUUAAACCAUAAAUAAGUAGUUUACUUUAAAAUUUUGAGACAACAUUGUAUCUUGGGAUCUGAGAAUUUGAUAUGCGUAGAAUAUGGCAUCCAUGUUUGGACUUUUUUAGAAAGAAAAAAAUUGAUAGAACACCCCCGUUUUUUGGCAUUAGAAGUGGCAUUGGGGCUUUACUUAUUUUGACCCCAAAUAGACCUUUCAAAAUCAAAACCCUGUCAUUUAUCUUUGUUUGGAUAUAUCAGGGCACUAUAAUAAAUACUGUUUAUCAAUUUAUGAUAUGAAAAUUGAUAGUUACAUGUAAAUUGAAUUUAGAUACAUUUAUUUUUUUGUUUUAGAAAUUGACUGAAAU